rnacentral:rRNA from 1 species
UACGGAGGGUGCAAGCGUUAUCCGGAUUCACUGGGUUUAAAGGGUGCGUAGGUGGGAAUGUAAGUCAGUGGUGAAAUCUCCGGGCUUAACCUGGAAACUGCCAUUGAUACUAUAGGUCUUGAAUUUUCUGGAGGUAAGCGGAAUAUGUCAUGUAGCGGUGAAAUGCUUAGAUAUGACAUAGAACACCAAUUGCGAAGGCAGCUUGCUACAGGAAUAUUGACACUGAGGCACGAAAGCGUGGGGAUCAAACAGG